GAAAAAAAAAAGUAAAGAAGAACCCAAAACGUGUACACUUCUUUCGAAACCCUAACUCCAAUACUUCAUCACUCCCGCCACUGGCCCCAACAGUGGCAACCACCGCCGCCGCCGCAGCUCCUUCCCCCUCCCGUCGAGUGAUCCCAGCCUCCAACAGCUCGCCAUUCUACCACCGCCCCACCACCACUUCAACACCAGUUCAACUCGCCCCAGCCCGACCACCAGAACAAGCCAAAAUCAUCUUCUUAAACCCCAACCCUACAGCCCAACCGCCUGCAGCUCCUCCCUUCGCGUGUAUCCCAGCCUCCACCACCUCUUCUCCGGCCACCCCACCCCCAACCACCCACACUUCAAUCUACCUCUACGCUCUCCCUUGCCAUGAAGCCCGUUUUUGAAAAGAAGAAAGAGAAAACGUAAGAACCCUGACACCUCACCUUCCUUAUCAUCCCCUGUCGGCACAGACGCCUCCUCCUCCUUACCCGUCGCCUCCUCCUCCUUACCCGCAGCACUGGCACCUCCUCCUCCUUACCCGUCAGUACUGGCACCUCCUCCUCGUUAGCACUGGCACCUCCUCCUCGUUACCCGUCAGUACUGGCACCUCCUCCUCGUUACCCGUCGGCACUGGCACCUCCUCCUCCUUCCCCAUAGAACUUCUUUGCUCGUACACCAGUGACAUGAUCGAGGAGUGUGCGAUGCGGAGGAGGGACGGGUCUUGUUCCUUGGGGGCCAGGGGGCCAGCGUCAAUAAAGAGAUGUAACGUUUCUUUUUUUUUUUGACGAUUACGAUUGUCUUUUUGAGUUGUCGCAGUGUUUGAAUGGUUUGGAUCACCCAAACAUUCCCAAAGUACACGCUGUGCUUGAUGUACACGCUGUGCUUGAUCAGGAGGAGUCGACACUUGUGGUGGAUCAGGUCCCCCGCAUUCCCGUGAAAAAAUGGCUCGAGCACGAAACUAGAAGGUGGUCCAUGUGGACUGUAGUUUCGGAAGGAGACGAAUACCAGUAUCUGGAACUUGAAGAAAAACAUCACCAACUUUUUAGGUGCAUUGCUAGGACAUUGGGCUAUCUUCACACAAAAGGAAUAUGUCAUGGAAAUCUGCCGGAGGGUGUUUGGGUGACGGAGCCGACAGAGAACAAUGUUCGAGUCUUGCUUACAAAUUUUAAUAGGAGUAUUGAAUUUCCGAUUGGUUUCAAGCAAGAUUUGGACGACUUGAAGGGCCUUGUGGAGUAUGCUGUCCAGAAACACUCCAAACAAAUCAGAUUCAACAAGAAGUUACCAAAGGAACCUCCUGCUCUCCAGGCAUUUUAUAACCUCUACACUGAAAUGAAAAAACUUGAAGAUGACCUCGAAGCAAUGAGGGAAUUUGCUAUGUUUAUCUACUGGGCUCCCAUCUUCCACAACUGGGGGGAUAGGUGAGAUUUUCUGAAGAUAGUUGAAAAGUUUUCACUCCAAAGCUUUGCUAAGUUUGAGCAAUUGUUGAUAUUCGAUAAAAUGGCUUAUUCUGAGGGAAAAGUUUUAGGGGAAGUGAACUUUUAUGCCAUUCUAGAACUAAAAGACUGGAUGAUGAAAAUAAAACAAUCAGGAGUAAAAAAUGAACUUAGGAAAUUGUACAACGACGGGAGUCGUGGCCGGGCAUACCAGGAUUCUGGGGGAAUCUAUUGGUUGCAUCGAUGUGGGCUUUAUUACUAUCAAAGUGAGGGGGCUAGGAAUUCUGAACAAGCGGCGAUGGAGGACCUCCUUUCAGCGUUCCCUAAUGCAUUACCGAUGAUACUGAAGAUUCUGAUUCGUAUAUUUGGUGGCGGAAAAGUCAAGAAUUUCAGGAAAAAUCUGGAGUUCUAUUUGAAACAAGGCUUGUAAAAAACACUUGGAGGCAUUCACUCAAGCAACAGAUUAUGAUGGUACUGUGCCACUUCAUCUGGAUGGGGCAUUGAAGGUUUUAGUUACUCUUGGAUAUCGAGGGCAUCUGACUCGGUCGAUGUGGACAAUAGUGCAUUUGCAGAUGUUACAAAGGCCUCUUUUUAUGGAUGGACAA